rnacentral:rRNA from 5 species
CAAAAGAAGUAGGUAGCUUAACCUUCGGGAGGGCGCUUACCACUUUGUGAUUCAUGACUGGGGUGAAGUCGUAACAAGGUAACCGUAGGGGAACCUGCGGUUGGAUCACCUCCUUA